AAAAGUUACAAAAAUAGCACUUAAUGUUUUAUCAAAAGUCACAAACUUAGAGUUUAGAGUUAAAGGGUGGGGUUUAAGAUUUAGGGUUUAGGGUUUAGAGUUUAGGGUUUAGGGUUUAGAGUUUAUGGUUUAGGGUUUAGGGUUUAUAGUUUAAGGUUUAGAGUUUAUGGUUUAGAGUUGAGAAAUGAGGUUUUGGGAUAAGAUUUCAAAUUUUGAAAAAUAAAAAAAUUAAAAUUUUCAAAAAAUAAAAUGCUAUUUUGGUCAUUUUAGUUUUUGAGUGCUAUUUUUGUGAUAUAAACUUAGAAAUGUGCUAUUUUGGAGAUUUACCC
rnacentral:lncRNA from 1 species